CUGAAACAUUUGGAUUGGGUGUCAUAGCUGAAGGCCAGGUUGGGCCAGAGGAGGAACCAGCUUCCCACCAGCUGGGCAGACAAGUAUUCACCAGCAGGGGAGAAAAACAUGUGCAAUUGGUGCUGUAUCAGUCCUGGAGCCAAGUUUGAGGACGCCAGGGCGCCACUGGACUAUGGUUUGAAGUCAUUAGUGGUUUUCUGUGGGUGAAUUUCUUGGAUUAACAAGAGAAUCUCGGCACAAGAGCCAGCUUCUUUCUACUCCUGCCCUGACACGUAAGCUCUCUUUGUGCUUUCCUAGCAACAAUGACCACAUGCAUCCAGAGUGCUGCUUUGGCUUAACUGCCACCUGCAAUGACCGCUCGAGAACAGGUUGAAGAGUGAAAACACUGCAAAUUCAGCAAACAGUGCUUGUUCCAGAGAGCAUGUUCUCUUAACCCAUGAACUUCUAACAGUGCAACAUGUUCUCUAAUCCCAAUACAUUCUGGCUUCCCUAUUUUUUCCACUAUCAUAAUUGAGUCUUAGGCACUGGUCUCCUCAUAAUUCUGAUAAUGAGGUAAAAUCAUG
ensembl:lncRNA